rnacentral:lncRNA from 1 species
CCACCUUUCUGUGUGAGGUCCUGACCUGUUAUUUCCCUCCUGCUUUGUUUCUCUUGGGAUUGCUUAUUUUGUGGGAUAUUUUGUCUUAUAAUCAAAACAGAAUAUAGUGUAAAGAAUGUCACAUGGGCAAUAAUUACAUGGUGCUUUAUAGGUUACGAAUCACCUUGAAAGGGCUAAGAGCUGAAAGUUGUGUACUGACAGCACUCCCAGCAGAGGGGGCAAUAUGGCCUAGCUCUGAGAGAGUCUUGAUCAAUGAUUGGGAGUCCAGAUUAAAGCAGAGGUUCUGCCUAGGCAGGAUAGCCAUCCCUAGUAUCUGUAAUGUGCUCAUCUGCUGAAGUUCUAAAACCCACAGCAAUGUGCGUCCCACUGAGCUGUUGGCUCUGGUAUCCCAGGUGCCUUCCUUUCUGUUCCUCCCGCCCCACCUCCCAGGCCAUGGCAGGGAGAUAGUUCUUCUUUUAGGGUGCUGCUUAGCUAUC